rnacentral:misc_RNA from 1 species
UGAUGUUUGAACAACGCAUUGAUUUAGGAAUUUUGUUAUGAAGCAAUUAGCAUUUCCAUUUGUAGUAGCUAUACUUGACAAUGGAGUCUCGCUAACGCCUAAUCUAAGUUGAUUGCUUGUUUUUGAAUUAAGGGAGCAAGCUGUAAAUUUGUUGUUCAAUAGAUUUCUUUUGUCAAUUUUUCAUGUUUGAAAUGAAAGGUUUAAAAGAAAUAGAAAUCAAG